ACACGUAAGGUGCGAGCGUUGUUCGGAAUUAUUGGGCGUAAAGGGCAUGUAGGCGGUCCGGCAAGCUUGGUGUGGAAUGCAGUGGCUCAACCACUGAACUGCAUUGAGAACUACCGGACUAGAGUGAGUGAGGGGGAGCCGGAAUUCCAGGUGUAGGGGUGAAAUCUGUAGAUAUCUGGAAGAACACCAAUGGCGAAGGCAGGCUUCUAUCACAUGACUGACGCUGAGGUGCGAAGGUGCGGGGAGCAAACAGGAUUAGAUACCCUGGUAGUCCGCACAGUAAACGAUGUACAUCAGGUGUCUGGCCAUGAGGCUGGGUGCCGAAGUAAACGCGAUGAAUGUACCGCCUGGGGAGUAUGCCCGCAAGGGUGAA
rnacentral:rRNA from 1 species